GCGGCCUUUUCCGGCCUCUGCAGCAGCGCGGGCGGCGCGGUAGCUGGGGACGCGCGGGCUUGGCCCGAGCCUUGCAGGCUGCAGAACAGUUUGGAAAAGCGCUUUUCUGGAUAAUAGUCCAGGCCCUCAUGUCCUCAUCAUAUAAAUGACGGGCCGCAGAGCGAGCAAGGAACCAAAGCCUCUUGCCAACAGCCAUGUGUGUGCGCCAUCUUGUGAACAUAUCUUCCAGCCCCAGUCAUAUCUUCCAAUGGCUACAGCCCUGCCCGAGAUCUUGACUGCAAUAUCCAGAACCAUAGCUGCCCAGGAUUUCAUUAGAGUUUCAAAAAUUAGGAGCUGCCAUCAGAAGGGGAUGGUUCAAACAACUUUCUGCGGAAUAGCUGUGAAACGGUGACGUACAAAUCCAGCCUCCAGGUCCCAGCACCAGCAGUAGUUCAUGAACCGGACAAAACAAGCCCUCAGGAAGUCCCCCAGCAGGAUGGUGAUGUACGUUACCAGCAUGUCGGACACCGUCAACCUCACGAAUUCCUGCAACGAGGAACACAGAGGGAGGGGUGGUCAGGGUUGGCCCUUGCCCACCUCUCCCAACUGACUGCAGCCAUGCACACUCUCCCCCACCCACCUGUAUUCUUCUCUGUGAUCCUCUGAAUUUGGGGGCACAGUGGUGGUGGUGCAGAGCAAAGAUCAGGCUUUGAAAUAUUCUUACAUAGGUCUGAGCUCUAUAAUUACUAAUUGUAUUGCUUUGAAAUAGUCUCUGAACCUCUUGAAGUUAAUAAUGUUAACCUUGCAGGGUUAUUGGGAAGCUUAGUGAUUAUGCAUGCAAAUUGCCUGGCACACUGGUAAUGCCCAAUGCUUGGCAGUUAUCAGCACAGAUACAGGAUCUGAAGGCUUGCCCCUUACUUUCCCCACCUGCUCUGAAAUACCAGCUGCCCCGGCUAAGACUAAAUCUGAUCAUUGUCACCAGGGACAACAGCUGGUUUUCUUUACCUCUGGCUAAAGAUUUUUUCUGGUUAUAUAGAGAAAAUAAUGCAGGUUUUUCACAGAGGCACAUAGCAAAAGAGGCAAAAACGUAUUACUUUUGGGGGGAAAUUUAAAGAUCUACCAGAUAAUAUCACAAACUUUAAGACAUCUAGUGGACUUGGAAUUCCUAGAAAGUACAGGGUCUGCUUUAUUCAUUUUUAUAUCCUCCAAAUUGAUUAAUAAAUUUUUGCUGGAUGAACAGCUGAUGAAUUUUCAGGGUUAUUCCUCAGUAAGAAUUCAGGUUUAUGUUUAAGUAAUAGACAACCCAGCAUGUAUCAGGUCUCCACUCUGUGCAAAGUGAUGCUCUGGGGCCUGGGCUGGAGGUGGUGGAGGACAUAAUGCCUCAAACCCAUCAUCAUCAACUAGCUCAGAAAGAUACAAACUUUUAUUACUGAUGGGAACAGUGAUGGGCAUUGAGGGAGGAGGGCAAGAGAGACACCCCUCAAGGAUGUGGGGCAGGAAAUGAGAGACUAUAUAGCAGAAUAUUUAAAAAGAAUCAUGUAGGUAACGAACUCUGUAUGGCCUUCUAAAGAGGAUUGGUUUUAUUGACUUGAAGAUUCUUUCUCUGUUACAUAUUGUGAUGAGUUGAAUGCAGGAGCUGGGGAAGCUCAGUGGCUCUACACCUUAAAGAUGAGGAAGAUUUGAAGAACAUGGGAAUCUGGACUGGAGGAGGAAGAGAUGAGAGCUGGAACAGAAGAUGGAGAUGCGGGGUUGGAAGGAACCAGGGAUGGCCCAACUGUUUCCACAGGAACAACAACUAAAGCCAGCACAUGCCACAACCUUACCACCUCAUAUCUGCCCUACCCCUCAAUGGAGCACCCCCAAAUCUAAACAGAAGAAGGGGCAAUUGACCAAAGUCCUUGGGUCUUUUCCAUGAAGUUAUCAUCCAUCCAUCCAUCCAUCCAAUCAUUCAUUCUUCUUUUGAGAAUAAUUGAUUCAGGGUCUAUUCUGGACAUAUGAGGCAGUGGUGACACAGAAGUGAACAAGAGAUGGAGCAUUCCUCAGAAAGUUCACAGUCUCAUAAGUGACAGAGAUGAACAAACAGUUAUAGAAUCUAUACUAAUAAAAGGCCUUCCUGCAGUUCUCUAUUUGCACCAGCUGUUCCCUCUGCUUUUUCUAGUCUCUGCUAAGAUUCCUCAGGGGGUGCUGGAGUCCCUCCUAUGCACUGCAGUGCUGCCCUGGGCUUGCCUCAGUGAAGCAUACCCUGCAGCAUGCUGUAAUGGAUGAGUCUGUCUCCUGGCCCAGAGUGUGAACACCCUUGGAACAGGACUGUGUUUCACUCUCUGCUGUUCCCUGAGGACCUGACGCAGAGGGCUCCAUAACCAUUCGCUGACAUUCUGCAUUUUGGAGAAUUCCUGGGAUCGCUUCACCACAAAGUAAAUGAGGUACCCACUCCCACACAAACAGCAGAUGAUGAGGAAGUUGGCCAGGACGCGGAGAAAUCUUGUCAGUAGACACUCAAGAAUCAUAAAAUGCUGGUGUGCCAGCCACCAUAUGGACACCGGAGAAGUGGCUGAGUUGAAAACAGGACUUAGGAGUGUGUGUUCAUGGAGCAUCGUCGAAAGCUUGGCCCUGUGUUAGGCAUUUGGGACACGAUCCUGGCCAGUUCCUCCUCAGACAGAGACUCCCCAGCAGAGGCGCUGGAGGCCAAGGAGGGCGAUCUGGAGGAGAGCCAGGGUAGAGCAGAGAGUGAAAAGGAGGCGCGUGUGGGAUCAGAGGAGCCCAUGGU